AUUUUUUUCUUGCGUACCAAGG
rnacentral:piRNA from 1 species